UGGGGAAUAUUGGACAAUGGGGGCAACCCUGAUCCAGCAAUGCCGCGUGUGUGAAGAAGGUCUUCGGAUUGUAAAGCACUUUCGACGGGGACGAUGAUGACGGUACCCGUAGAAGAAGCCCCGGCUAACUUCGUGCCAGCAGCCGCGGUAAUACGAAGGGGGCUAGCGUUGCUCGGAAUGACUGGGCGUAAAGGGCGUGUAGGCGGUUUACACAGUCAGAUGUGAAAUCCCCGGGCUUAACCUGGGAGCUGCAUUUGAUACGUGUAGACUAGAGUGUGAGAGAGGGUUGUGGAAUUCCCAGUGUAGAGGUGAAAUUCGUAGAUAUUGGGAAGAACACCGGUGGCGAAGGCGGCAACCUGGCUCAUGACUGACGCUGAGGCGCGAAAGCGUGGGGAGCAAACAGGAUUAGAUACCCUGGUAGUCCACGCUGUAAACGAUGUGUGCUAGAUGUUGGGUAACUUUGUUAUUCAGUG
rnacentral:rRNA from 1 species